rnacentral:lncRNA from 7 species
UUUUUUGGUGGGUUUUUGUUUUUCGUUUUUUUUUCUUUUUGAUUUGUUGCUUUAAAUGUGGUUGUUUUCAUUUGCUGUUUUUUCCCUUCGUUUUCUUUUUUUGUGUGUCUGUUUUUGUGUAUUGUGCUUUUGUUUUGUUUUUGCUUUUUGUGUUUAUGAUUAAAUUUUGUUCUGCUGUUUCGUUUGCUUUUUUUUUUUGCUUUCCUUGUUUCUGUUUCUUCUAAUAUGUGUGGGGUUUGUGAGUUUUCUUUUCUUUUUCUGGAUAUUUUGCUUUUUGUUUUUCCUGUGUUUUAAUUUCUAUUUUGUGUGUGUUUUUUCAUUUGUCUUUUUGUUUUUUUUUUUUUUUUUUUUUCAGGUGGUUUUUCGUAGUUUUUUGCGGGGUAGUUUUUGGUAGUUUUUUCUGUGGGGCGCUCUGUGCACUUGUUUUUUUUUUUUUGUGGGGUUUUUUGUUGUUUUUUUUUUUAAUUUGUUUUUUUAAAUGUGUUUCUUUGUUAUGCUCUUCUUUCCCUUAGUUUUCCUACUUCGGGGUGUGUGUGUGUGUUUGUGUGUGUGUGUUUUGUGCUUUUGUUUUGUUUUUGCUUUUUGUGUUCUAUGAUUCGAUAUUUGUUCUGGUGGUUUUUUUGGUUGGUUGGUUUUUUGUAAUUCUUGUGUUUCUGUUUCUUGUAACAGUUUUUUGCCACUUUCUUUGUUUGAAUCCUUUGCUUGGCUACGAUAUUGCAUUGUAUGUCCUUGCUUUUUCCUUGUAUUUCUUUUAUCGUUUUGCUUUGCGUUUUCUUUGGUUUGCUUUUUUUGAUUCCUUGAUUUGUUGUUGUUUCAGUUUUUUUUUAGUUAUGUUUGAUUUGUUUUCUAUGUUUUUCCUUGGGAUGUCAUCGUUUUGUUGUUUUUUUACCUUUGCUUUCCUUACCUCAUUUUUCGCUUUGCUUUCCUCUGUUUUCUCUCUUUUUGCCAUUGUAUUCUUUGCCGUUUUUUUCUUUCUGUUAUUUUGUUUUUCUCUGAAUAUUCCUACAGAUGUCUACAACUAUGGGAACUCUUAUACGUCACACAAAUGGGUAACCCUUCACAGUUAUCGUUAACACAAAAUGCUAACCAUUCAGCACAGCUGGAAAAGGUAAAUCUGAAGCCUAAUGCCAAAGGGUAUCCCUUAAUCCUAAAGCCUGUCCCCAAAUGGGAAACCCUUAACUCGUAAUUCUAAUCCAAAAGGGCAACCAUGAAACCAAACCGAGAAGGGUACCCCGUAACUCUUAUCCCUUAAUGCAGCAUGGAGCCCUUUAGUUUCUUGUAACGGCAUAACCCUUAACCCAAAGUGCUGACACUGAAGCGUAACCCUCGUGAGAAGCUGUUAACACAAACCCCAAGCCGGUAGCCUGAAUGCUUCCCCCUACCCCUUUUAAAAGGGUAACCUUGAGAGCUGCCCCAAACGCAGAACGCUUGACAUGUAACCCUUGAGCGCAAGCCAAGCUGGGAAGCCUUCCCCCUAAAGCGUAGCCCAAAAGGGGAACUCUCAGCUCUUAG